rnacentral:rRNA from 1 species
CACGCAGGCGGUCUGUCAAGUCGGAUGUGAAAUCCCCGGGCUCAACCUGGGAACUGCAUUCGAAACUGGCAGGCUUGAGUCUUGUAGAGGGGGGUAGAAUUCCAGGUGUAGCGGUGAAAUGCGUAGAGAUCUGGAGGAAUACCGGUGGCGAAGGCGGCCCCCUGGACAAAGACUGACGCUCAGGUGCGAAAGCGUGGGGAGCAAACAGGAUUAGAUACCCUGGUAGUCCACGCCGUAAACGAUGUCUACUUGGAGGUUGUGCCCUUGAGGCGUGGCUUCCGGAGCUAACGCGUUAAGU